GAGGGCAUAGCUCAGUGGUAGAGUGCGUGCUUAGCAUGCAUGGGCUUCUGGGUUCAAUCCCCAGCACCUCCA
rnacentral:tRNA from 1 species